UUCCCGGGCCUUGUACACACCGCCCGUCACACCACGAGAGUUUGUAACACCCGAAGUCGGUGGGGUAACCUUUUUGGAGCCAGCCGCCUAAGGUGGGACAGAUGAUUGGGGUGAAGUCGUAACAAGGUAGCCGUAUCGGAAGGUGCGGCUGGAUCACCUCCUUU
rnacentral:rRNA from 1 species